rnacentral:rRNA from 1 species
UUUCGCAAUGCCCGAAAGGGUGACGAAGCGACGCCGCGUGCGGGAAGAAGGCCUUCGGGUUGUAAACCGCUGUCGGGAGUUAAGAAAUGCAAGGGUGUUAAUAGUAUCUUUGCUUGACUAAGGCUCCGGAGGAAGCCACGGCUAACUCUGUGCCAGCAGCCGCGGUAAUACAGAGGCGGCAAGCGUUGUUCGGAAUUAUUGGGCGUAAAGAGCACGUAGGCGGCUAUGUAAGUCGGUUGUGAAAGCCUUCCGCUCAACGGGAGAACAGCAUCCGAUACUGCAUGGCUUGAGUGCGGGAGGGGAGAGUGGAACUUCUGGUGGAGCGGUGAAAUGCGUAGAUAUCAGAAGGAACGCCGGCGGCGAAAGCGGCUCUCUGGCCCAUAACUGACGCUGAGUGUGCGAAAGCUAGGGGAGCAAACGGGAUUAGAUACCCCGGUAGUCCUAGCCGUAAACGAUGGGCACUAAGUAGAGGGGUUUU